rnacentral:rRNA from 1 species
GACAGAGGGUGCAAACGUUGUUCGGAAUUACUGGGCGUAAAGCGCGUGUAGGCUGCUCGGAAAGUCGGAUGUGAAAGCCCUGGGCUCAACCUAGGAAGUGCAUUCGAAACUUCCGAGCUGGAGUGCUGGAGAGGAAGGCGGAAUCCUCGGUGUAGAGGUGAAAUUCGUAGAUAUCGAGAGGAACACCAGUGGCGAAAGCGGCUCUCUGGUCCUAAACUGACGCUGAGGGGCGAAAGCGUGGGGAGCAAACAGG